UACGAAGGGGGCUAGCGUUGCUCGGAAUCACUGGGCGUAAAGCGCACGUAGGCGGCUUUCUAAGUCAGGGGUGAAAUCCUGGAGCUCAACUCCAGAACUGCCUUUGAUACUGGAGAGCUUGAGUCCGGAAGAGGUGAGUGGAACUCCGAGUGUAGAGGUGAAAUUCGUAGAUAUUCGCAAGAACACCAGUGGCGAAGGCGGCUCACUGGCCCGAUACUGACGCUGAGGCACGAAAGCGUGGGGAGCAAACAGGG
rnacentral:rRNA from 1 species